rnacentral:rRNA from 1 species
UACGUAGGUGGCAAGCGUUAUCCGGAUUUACUGGGUGUAAAGGGCGUGUAGGCGGGAAUGUAAGUCAGAUGUGAAAACUAUGGGCUCAACCCAUAGCCUGCAUUUGAAACUGCAUUUCUUGAGUACUGGAGAGGCAGACGGAAUUCCUAGUGUAGCGGUGAAAUGCGUAGAUAUUAGGAGGAACACCAGUGGCGAAGGCGGUCUGCUGGACAGCAACUGACGCUGAGGCGCGAAAGCGUGGGGAGCAAACAGG